AGUGAACGCUGGCGGUAGGCCUAACACAUGCAAGUCGAACGGCAGCACAGUAAGAGCUUGCUCUUACGGGUGGCGAGUGGCGGACGGGUGAGGAAUACAUCGGAAUCUACUUUUUCGUGGGGGAUAACGUAGGGAAACUUACGCUAAUACCGCAUACGACCUACGGGUGAAAGCAGGGGAUCUUCGGACCUUGCGCGAUUGAAUGAGCCGAUGUCGGAUUAGCUAGUUGGCGGGGUAAAGGCCCACCAAGGCGACGAUCCGUAGCUGGUCUGAGAGGAUGAUCGGCCACACUGGAGCUGAGCCACGGUCCAGACUCCUACGGGAGGCAGCAGUGGGGAAUAUUGGACAAUGGGCGCAAGCCUGAUCCAGCCAUACCGCGUGGGUGAAGAAGGCCUUCGGGUUGUAAAGCCCUUUUGUUGGGAAAGAAAAGCAGCAGGUUAAUACCCCGCUGUUCUGACGGUACCCAAAGAAUAAGCACCGGCUAACUUCGUG
rnacentral:rRNA from 1 species